GUGAUGAUGAUGAUGAUGAUGAUGAAGACCACUGUGAGGAAUAUAGACAGUGAUGAUGAUGAUGAUGAUGAUGAAGACCACUGUGAGGAAUAUAGACAGUGAUGAUGAUGAUGAUGAUGAAGACCACUGUGAUGAAUAUAGACAGUGAUGAUGAUGAUGAUGAUGAAGACCACUGUGAGGAAUAUAGACAGUGAUGAUGAUGAUGAUGAUGAAGACCACUGUGAUGAAUAUAGACAGUGAUGAUGAUGAUGAUGAUGAAGAAUAUAUAGGUUAGAUAGGAUUAUAUAGGAUUAUAUAGGUUAGAUAGGAUUAUAUAGGUUAGAUAGGAUUAUAUAGGUUAGAUAGGAUUAUAUAGGAUUAUAUAGGUUAGAUAGGAUUAUAUAGGAUUAUAUAGGUUAGAUAGGAUUAUAUAGGUUAGAUAGGAUUAUAUAGGAUUAUAUAGGUUAGAUAGGAUUAUAUAGGAUUAUAUAGGUUAGAUAGGAUUAUAUAGGAUAGAUAGGAUUAUAUAGGUUAGAUAGGAUUAUAUAGGAUAGAUAGGAUUAUAUAGGAUUAUAUAGGUUAGAUAGGAUUAUAUAGGAUAGAUAGGAUUAUAUAGGAU